GAGGCUAUGGCGUAAUGGCAACGCACUUCACUGUGAAUGAAGGUAUUCGGGUUCGAUUCCCGAUAGUCUCC
rnacentral:tRNA from 1 species